CUACGGUUUUGGGCUAAUCAUUCUAACCUUUUAGUUUUUAGCUACUCAUUCUUACCAAGUUUAGUUUUGUAAAAUAUGGCGACUGGAUACGAGAUUGUUCAGACCCUGAACAAGAAGAGGCUCCCAAACAAGUUCGAGAAUUUAGGGUACAACAGGACGUUUCUGAAUGUCGUAAUUGUGCCAAGUGUGAGCAAAUGCCUACAGAGCCUGAGAAUGGAUGCUGCAGGGAGAUGCCACAGGUAACAAGAAGACUACUGCAGCUUCCAAACCAACCAACGUGCAUCAUCCGGGACUUUUAGCUGUGUGAUUGAAUGUGUUCUCACUACAGAAUGCAUUCAACAUCUAUAAUGCAGACUAUGGGCCUUAUGUCUAAGGGGAAUAUAGCAGUAAGUUGUUUUGUUUUUUAUGCAUAUGAGUCAUCAGUGAUUUCUGCAAUACAAAUAUAACUGGGGA
ensembl:lncRNA